rnacentral:rRNA from 1 species
CUCCAGACUCCUACGGGAGGCAGCAGUGAGGAAUAUUGGUCAAUGGCCGAGAGGCUGAACCAGCCAAGCCGCGUGAGGGAAGAAGGUACAGCGUAUCGUAAACCUCUUUUGUCAGGGAACAAAGGCGGGGACUAGUCCCCGGAUGAGGGUACCUGAAGAAAAAGCAUCGGCUAACUCCGUGCCAGCAGCCGCGGUAAUACGGAGGAUGCGAGCGUUAUCCGGAUUUAUUGGGUUUAAAGGGUGCGCAGGCGGCUUGUUAAUGCGGGGAAAAAAGCCGGGGCCCCACCCCGGGCCUGCCGUUGAAACUGGCGGCCUCGAGUGGGCGAGAAGUAUGCGGAAUGCGUGGUGUAGCGGUGAAAUGCAUAGAUAUCACGCAGAACUCCGAUUGCGAAGGCAGCAUACCGGCGCCCGACUGACGCUGAGGCACGAAAGCGUGGGUAUCGAACAGGAUUAGAUACCCCCGUA